UGUAACAACUUUUUAGACUCUGUUGGCCUUUAGGAUCCAUUCCUACUGAUGUUGCCAGCUUUUGGUGAAGUCAGUGGCUGCUUUAUACCGUGACAACAUUAAUUUUAAAGAGUUGAGAUAUUUUGAUGUUAUGGGAGACGGCUACUCGGUUUCAAAUCAGACAGUGCAAGCUUGUUUUCAUUGUCUUCUUGACUUGUAAAUCAUGAAGGAAAUGGCACUCAGAUGGCAGCAUGUUUUAUAGCCGGCUUCGUAGUUUCAAGCUAGAUAUAAGUGACUGGUAAAAAUCCAUGGUGAAAUUUACUUUGUAACCCAAACAUUUUUAGGAUACUGGUUGAUGCUGAUAACUUAAUUUUCUUUA